AACGCACAUUGCGCCCCCUAGGCAUUCCGGGGGGCAUGCCUGUUCGAGCGUCAUUUCACCAAUCAAGCCUGGCUUGGUAUUGGGCCUUUCGCCCCCCCUAGACGGGGGGCGGGCCCCGAAACUUUCGGCGAAGUCUCACUGGCUUUGGGCGUAGCAGAUUUGUCUAAACGUCCGGAGCCCGAGGGACCGCUGCCGCCUAAAUGGCCUCACGGCCAACUUUUUCUUGGUUGACCUCGGAUCAGGUAGGAAUACCCGCUGAACUUAA
rnacentral:misc_RNA from 1 species